rnacentral:pre_miRNA from 1 species
GAGGGGAGGUCAGAUCCUGGGCUGUGUCCCGGCGCCCUGUGCUCCCGGUCUGCACUGUUGGAUUCGUGCUCCCGCCCCGCAGCCCCCU